AAAACGACUCUCGGCAACGGAUAUCUCGGCUCUCGCAUCGAUGAAGAACGUAGCAAACUGCGAUACUUGGUGUGAAUUGCAGAAUCCCGUGAACCAUCGAGUCUUUGAACGCAAGUUGCGCCCGAAGCCAUUUGGCCGAGGGCACGUCUGCCUGGGCGUCUAGU
rnacentral:rRNA from 1 species